rnacentral:tRNA from 1 species
GGAGAGAUGGCAGAGCGGUUGAAUGCGGCGGUCUUGAAAACCGCUGAGCCUUUGCGGGCUUCGUGGGUUCGAAUCCCACUCUCUCCUCCA